CCUUCAUUUUUGUCUGUCCCGAGUACAAUAAAUUGCAGAUACAAGUUGGUUAGAGUUUGGUGGAUUUAUAUCUAAUCCCAUCAAUAUGGUAAGUGAACAAUUCAUACAGGACUGGGGAAUUUGAAGUAGCCUUGCCGCGUGAUCCUCUCGGCAAGUUGAAGGAGAAGAUAAACGAAUUCGGUUCGAAUUCGGUCGUGUUCGUAUCUGGUACACUACGCAACGGGGACAGUCUGCGGUAGGUCCACCAAGCAAUCAUAGAGAGCAAGCGAUACUCAUGGUGGAGGAAUGGGAGUUAGAAGAAUGACAGGGGCUUCGAUCAUUACAUGUAUAUCUUCAUGUUCAAAUUCAUGGCAAAGCUCGACUUUUUAAGGUUGCAUCAUGUUUUCUAAUGAUGUUUAUGUGAUGAUAAAUGUCGAUACUAGCUAGAGUUAGCAUCGACAAGCCAAGUGGAUUUAAAGUAGCAGCAAAAAAUUUUGAAGCCAAAGACAACAACAAACUCCUAAGGCGUAGUCAACGUGGAAGGAUAAGGAACCAACUGUACAACAUACCAUGGACUUUAAUUCAAUUGAUAAAGAAGUUGAUGAUGUGGGGUUCUCGACUUCACCUGGCCCCCCUAUUUUUUCGUCAAAUAAGAGAAAGGAGUCCAGUAUAGAUCACAUUAUUACCAUACCACAUGGACAAUACGGCAUUAGAAGGGGCCAUAAACAAAGUGGACUCAUAAAAAAGGAUACUGUGAAAUUAUACCCAUCAGAGCAUUUGUCAUUCAAGAGGACACAAAUAAAAAUAACAGGAGAGGGUGAAAGGGAACUAAUUCUGAACUGGUAUAAUGAACUUUACCCAAAUGUUAAAUCACAAGUGGUAUCCUCAGGUCUAAAUUUUUUGGUAGAUUCCAUUCCAUUAGGCCCCUUAGACCAUCCAUUGAUACAAUCCCUAGCUGAAAAGUGGUGGGACACUACGCACACAUUUAUUUUCGAGAGCCUUGGGGAAAUGACUAUGACUCCAAAGGAUUUUAGUGCAAUAACUGGAUUAGCCGUGCACGGGACACUUUAAAAAUCGAUAAAGAGAUUCAUAAAAAAAAAGACAUUGUUCUAAGACUUCUUGGACAACCAUUAGCAAGUAUUCAAAAGAGAAAGGUUACCAUUAGUUGGUUAUACGAUGCAUACCAAGGCAUGACGACUAAAACAUUGGAGGUUGAAGAGAUACUAGCCAGAGUGUUCUUAAUAGCACUGCUUGGAUCAACAUUAUUUGCACGGAGCAAUAACAUGGUCAAUGUGUGUUUGUUACCAUCCCUUGUUAUAAUUGACGAGGUAGGAAUGUACAACCGGGGCGCUGCGGGCUUGGCUUACUGUUAUGAACAAAUGGACGACCUAUGCAGACAAUGCACCACCUCCAUAGGAGGACUAUGGAAAGCAUGGGAGGUGUGGGGAAGAGAAUACAUUCCUUCUUUGCGGGUUACAUCUCAGUGCAUCAUGUCCAAGGUAUUUCCAAGAUCCUUGCUAUGGAUUAGCUGCCCUCUGCCAAGCAUGGAACAUUCAAUCCUAUUGGACUACUACAGAGAAAUACUAGAUAAUCUAACUUUUAAAGAUGUUCAAUGGUUCCCUUGGGGGGAAAGAAAACGCCAACCUGCGUAUGUGAGGUUCUCCGAACAACCAAACACUCGUAGAAUCCUCCUAUUGGGAUUGCAUGGAGGCGAAUGGUACUUGGCUGAAAGAGUCACAAUGCAAAGUUACAACAUUCCACAAACAAAUAUCCCCAAGAUACCUCCAAAAUCAAUGAUAGUAAAAGAGAAAACAAUUCUUAUAUCAAAUAAUUGGUGCUUAGCUGGGAAGCCCGGAAGGAAUUUUUUCAAAAAAUCCACUAAGUUGACAUAUGACGAGUACAUAUCGCUAUUCUUGUCCAGCAACAAUAAUGAAGAGAACUUCCACUGGAUGCCCCAAAACAGGCGGAUAACCUAUUUUCAAAGGAUGGCCUGGAUGAACUAAUCAGAAAGAGAAAAUGCAUAGCUGCCACAGGACUACUUGCUAGGUUGGAUGGUGUCCAAUCAAAUCUAAUUCAACAGAUUAACACAACUAGUGAGACCUUCAAGACAUACUCCAACAUCCUAACAACCUUGAUGAUUGAUCUGGCACAAAAUUCCCCAACAGAACCAAGCAGAAGACCGACAAUUGAAGAUAACGUCAGCACCAACUAAAUAAAUAAAUAAAUGAGAGUAAAAAAAUAAGUCAUAUUCUACAGUACUGAACUGUUAACUAGGAGAGAUCCACCGUCCAACUUAAUAUGUUUAUUCGAUACUAGUUAAUAAUAUAUUGUGUUUUCUUCUAUCUUUCAUAUAUAUACAAAAUCACUUUAAAAUGUUUA